GCCACUGGAGUAGUGAUGCAUGUUAGUAGCAGUUCUAAAGUUGAGAAAGUGAGAAAUACUAGAUUAAUAAUUGAGAUUCAUAGUUUAAGACAUCGUUAACAGGAAAAAGUUGUUUAAAUAGUUCUAAUCGCGUUUGUAUUAACUCCAAAGAUUGAACGAGAAAAUGAGCUGAUUCAUCUCACGGAAACUGCAUAAAACAGAUUUUCCUUGAUUCAUCAGAGAUUAUUUCAAAUUGUUGUCAUUUUAUUCUUGAGUCUCCCGGAGUUCUGAGUAAAACUGUUUCUGCCAUCAACAAGCAGUGCUCAACAUUGGUAGAAACUGGCGAGCCAACCUGGUUUUUCCUGAGCUUGGACAACAUUUCCUGGUUCAUCGAAGUGGUAGGACCACACAUGUUCAUUUUAUCCUUUCCCUGGAUAAUAUCACAACUGUGGGCAAGAACUUUUUUUUUUUUUUUUGUUUUUUUUUUUUGCAUCUUGGAGUUUGCAUAUCUGUAUUCUUUAAACUGAACACUGUAACAGAUGUAUGAAAGACACUGAACUGAGCUAAACUCUUGUUUAUUUAAUUGAGUCAUUACCAUCAAAGACAUUUAGCUGAAAAAGAACUCUGAUUUGGGUGUCAUUGGAUAUUUUACCCAAAAUGUAUUGUCCAAACUAGUGUUUGUUUUGUUUUCCCCAUCUUUUAUUGAAAUUGUUCUGAAAAAAGGGAACAGGAAGGUUGAGUCAUAUAACUGUAAUUUGAGUUUUGAAUGUUAACCAGUUAUAUCAUUUAUGUGGAAAAGAAACACGGUUGUUUAAGGUUCUUUUGUGAAAUAUUUAAAAAAAAAAUAUAUAUAUUUUUUUUCCCUCUCCAACAUUCCCUCUUAAAUAAUACACAGAAAUACAAAAGAAAAUUACUUAUCUUUUCAGCUAUAACCCAGUCUUCUGUGGUUAUUUCCCUUGUCUCGCUGCAACGCUGGCUCAAGAGCGAACGUGGUCUUCUGAUCUGGUCCAAGGCAUUAGAAAGUGGUUUAUGCUUAGAUUGUAAGCCACGUGUGUCACGUGCUACAAGAGUUGGCGAGCCAGUUCUUGCAGCGAGGGUAACUGUUAAAGAAACCGAGAAGGGAAAUUAGUAAAAUGAGGAGGUUUGAAAUUUUCAACCGUUACAGUGGAAAUUGUGAAGUGGGAAAACGUUAACGUAGCAAAUGUGCUCCUAGUCGGAGGCCUUACGUUAACGGAAGUAGACCAUGAGCUGGAAAUGUACCAGAGAUAUGGUUCAAUUAGCCGUAAUAUUAUCAUUGAUGACCCAGCUUCAGAGUUUCACAGAAGUGUCAUCAUAGAAUAUAACCAUAACUCAGCAAUCCAAAAUUUGUGCCCUUUCUUACCCUUAACUUUGGGGAGUCUCUCCGACCCAGGUGUUACCUUCCGAGUGCAUGCCUUAGCUGCUGUCUGCACUCAAACUGCUAGCUGCGCUGCCACUGAAAGGUAUCUUGAGGAAUUGAAGGCCAUUGCCAAAGAGAGUGGAAGGCCUUUCCAAAGUGUGCUUCAAGAGGAAUUGGAGAAACUCAGAGAAACCCAUUCUGCAAAUCAAGAUCCAGCAGAAUCUCAACAUAUGGGCUGCCAUGGCUUUAGCAGUGACUCCCAGAGUGCAGAGGCCAUCAUCCCACCACCAAUAAGUAGCUCCCAGACUUCCAACCUGACUCAUUUAAAAGUAACAAACUCAAAGCUCAGAACCUAAAAACCCAACCAAGUAUAAAACUACAUUUGUGUCUCCCCUUUCUCCAGAAGCCACCACUGAUGAUAUUACUGUGACAACCUGCCCUGCUUUCCCCACAAAUAUUUUGGACCCACCCAGUAUCCAGAGAAUGGUGGUUGAACACAGUGAAAACAAGCGAAGCUACCCUGUCCCAGCAAACCUCAGUCUGUCUGAAGGUUUUCUCAGGGAGGUCUCCUCGUCCCCCCAACAAACCAGAUUUCGACACCUGGCGUGCAAGUGUAGACUUCUUGUUAAAUGAUCCUUCCAUCUCUGACUUGCACAGAACACGAAAAAUCCUUGACAGUCUCUUACCUCCAGCUGCCGACAUUGUCAAACAUGUGCGCCCUACCUGCUGUGUAUCUUGAGCUGUUAGAGUCCGUAUAUGGUUCUGUCGAGGACGGAGACAAGUUGUUGGCCAAACUCAUGGGCACUCUACAGAAUCAGAGUGAGAAACCAUCAGACUAUCUGCACCGCUUACAAGUCAUUCUGAAUGCAGCAAUCAGGCGAGGUGGCAUAGCAGAAAGUGAACGUGAUUGUUACCUUUUGAAACAGUUCUGCAGAGGGUGUUGGGACAAUUGUCUCAUUGCUGACCUUCAGCUUGAAAAAAGAGAAAUCCAACCAC